CCCGCGGACCGGGCCCCUCUGACGACGGAUUAUCCUCGUGAUGUCGGACCGCAUCG
rfam:Agrobacterium albertimagni AOL15 Contig_10, whole genome shotgun sequence.